UAGAAAGCCAAGCUUGAUAU
rnacentral:misc_RNA from 1 species